AGCCUUCUGUAUCCGUGCUGAGAUUUCGUCACACACCAGACCACAAGGGCUGGUGAGACU
rnacentral:pre_miRNA from 1 species